CAGUUUGAGUUUGACCAACUAUUCUAUAUAACUAAAUAUAACUAAAACGUCUCUGUUUUAACUUGGUUUAAGCGAACACGGAAGUAUAUAACAGAUACACAUCUCGCCAUAAAGCACAUGACACAGAAGUUUCCAGUAAAACAACAUUUCCCAAAAUGCAUCGCCCGUUCUGGUGACAUCCACGCUACGAUGAGGUGAAGCGGUUGUUUUCGUCCCGAUGGUUGUAAGAAGCUGCCUGGAAAUUGAGGUAUAACGGCUGUUACAUUGGAAUCAACGCGGUGUCCCCGGCUUGUAGGGUAUUGGAAUUACUGCCAGACUUAAGGAUUCAUCCCCCGCUUUGUUUUUGGUGAGUUCAUCGCCAUGUUAUCAUCCGUUCCCACCAGGCUAAUUGCCCGAAGGUCGCGCAGCCUGUCACCGUGCAGCCGCGUGCUCCAGACCAGCGCAAGCGGUGCCGCAUGCCAGGGCAUCCGCGAGACACCGGCAGAGAUCAACCGCAACCCCAUCGUGUCCACCUCCCGGGUCUCCAGAAGGGCGAUUUUAGCCGAGGAGACCGCUGGUACCAGUGUGAAACAGUUGGUGCAGUACCACCAUCUCGCCCCUAGAUGGCUGUCCAACCUGGAGAACCGCCGCGGCUCAUGGGCGGCUUUGGCCAGCAGAGGGCGGAACAAUAAUCAGUACUGGGAGGAGAGCGGCCAGCGGGACGGAGGUGGUGGCCGGAGGACAGGUGGAGGAGCCAGCCGGGCAGGAGUGGCCUCUGCCGGUGUGCUGUCUGCUGCAGCCGUGGCCUUCUGCCUGAAGAAAGAUUCUGAUAACAAAGGUGAUGCACUUCUGGAGGCAGCAAGGACCAAUAACUCUGAAGAUGUGGCCAGGCUGGUUAAAGAGGGGGUCGACCCAAACCACCGCCACCGUCUGGGUUGGACCGCUCUCAUGGUGGCUGCCAUCAACCGACAGCACAGUGUGGUGAAGGUUCUGUUAGAAGCUGGUGCCGACCCAAACAGCGGAGAUCACUUCAACAACGUUUACGACACCUCACGGGAGAAAGGCAUCCACUCACUGGAAGUUCUCGUGUCCAGAGAGGAUGAAUUCAGCAGCAGGCUCAGCAGCAGGGCUGGCUUCCGUGGUUGCACAGCGCUUCACUACGCCACUCUGGCUGAUGAUCCACGCACUGUCCGCAUGCUGCUGGAGGCUGGUGCCAACCCCCUGCAGACCAAUGGUUUGGGACACACAGCACGGGCCUAUGCUAAGGAGGGAGAAGUGAGCACAAUACUGCAGGAGUUUGAGGGCAAGUUCCAGGAGGCGCAGGCUCGGCGGGAGGCGGAGGAGAGGCGGCGGUUUCCCCUGGAGAGGAGGCUGAAGGAGCAUAUCAUCGGACAGGAGGGGGCCAUCAAUACUGUGGCCUCAGCCAUCAGGAGAAAGGAGAAUGGUUGGUACGACGAAGAGCAUCCUCUCGUAUUCCUCUUCCUCGGCUCAUCAGGAAUUGGAAAGACAGAGUUGGCCAAACAGGUGGCUCGCUACAUGCACAAGGACAUCAAAAAGGGUUUCAUCCGUAUGGACAUGUCCGAGUUCCAGGAAAAACACGAGGUGGCAAAGUUCAUUGGCUCCCCGCCAGGAUACGUGGGACACGAGGAAGGGGGUCAGCUGACAAAGCUGUUGAAGGCGUGUCCCAACGCUGUUGUCCUGUUUGAUGAAGUAGACAAGGCCCACCCCGAUGUUCUUACUAUCAUGCUGCAGCUCUUCGAUGAGGGUCGCCUCACAGACGGUAAGGGGAAGACCAUCGAAUGUAAAGACGCCAUCUUUAUCAUGACAUCUAACAUUGCAAGUGAUGAAAUCGCCCAACAUGCACUGCAGCUUCGUGAGGAAGCUGAGGCGAUAAGCCGCAGAAAGCUGGCCGACAACCUGGAGGAUGUUCAGAAAAGCGAUGACAUCAAAAUCUCCCGACAGUUUAAAGAAUCUGUGAUUCGACCAAUCCUGAAGGCUCAUUACCGGAGGGACGAGUUUCUGGGUCGGAUCAAUGAAAUUGUAUACUUCCUGCCGUUCUGUCACUCAGAGCUGCUCCAGCUGGUCAGCAAAGAGCUCCACUUCUGGGCUAAGAAGGCGAAGCAGCGCCAUGACAUUACUCUUCAGUGGGAGCGCCCGGUUCUGGAACUGUUGGCGGGCGGGUAUAACAUGCAUUACGGAGCACGCUCAAUCAAACAUGAGGUUGAGCGGCGGGUCGUCAACCAGUUAGCGGCAGCAUACGAGCAGGAGCUGUUGCCCAAAGGCUGCACCCUGCGUCUGUCCGUCCAACCAGAGGACCUGGAGGAGCGGAGCACGCCCAGUCUGCGCCUUGAGGUGGUAGGAGAGGACAGCAAAUCCAGAACACUGGACAUACGUCCACCGCUCAGCCCUGAACACUAACAAAGAAACACAGAGGAUAUAUCCAGAUAUUUAUGCACACAUGUACACUUUCCCACACACACACACACACACACACACACACACACACACACACACACACACACACACACACACACAAAAUGUGAUGGUUGUUUGGCUGUUAGAAAAUUAGACAAAGUGUACGACACAUAACAGGCAAGUUGCUAAGUCAAAGGUUGUAUGUGAGAAACAGAAUUCAAGGAUGUGUUU